rnacentral:rRNA from 1 species
AGUGAACGCUGGCGGUAGGCCUAACACAUGCAAGUCGAACGGCAGCACAGUAAGAGCUUGCUCUUACGGGUGGCGAGUGGCGGACGGGUGAGGAAUACAUCGGAAUCUACUUUUUCUUGGGGGAUAACGUAGGGAAACUUACGCUAAUACCGCAUACGACCUACGGGUGAAAGCAGAGGAGAUUCGGACCUUGCGCGAUUGAAUGAGCCGAUGUCGGAUUAGCUAGUUGGCGGGGUAAAGGCCCACCAAGGCGACGAUCCGUAGCUGGUCUGAGAGGAUGAUCAGCCACACUGGAACUGAGACACGGUCCAGACUCCUACGGGAGGCAGCAGUGGGGAAUAUUGGACAAUGGGCGAAAGCCUGAUCCAGCCAUACCGCGUGGGUGAAGAAGGUCUUCGGGUUGUAAAGCCCUUUUGUUGGGAAAGAAAAGAAGCAGGUGAAACCCUCGCCGUUCUGACGGUACCCAAAGAAUAAGCCCCGGCUAACUUCGUG